rnacentral:rRNA from 1 species
ACGGAGGAGGCAAGCGUUAUCCGGAGUUACUGGGCGUAAAGGGCGUGCAGGCGGUUGGCUAAGUUCGUUGUGAAAGCGCCCGGCUCAACCGGGGGAGGACGUACCGAACUGCGGGACUAGAGGCAGGGAGAGGCGUGUGGAAUUCCGGGUGUAGUGGUGAAAUGCGUAGAGAUCCGGAGGAACACCAGAGGCGAAGGCGACACCCUGGGCCGUACCUGACGCUAAGACGCGACAGCACGGGGAGCGAACGG